AUGAACGCUAGCUACAGGCUUAACACAUGCAAGUCGAGGGGCAGCAUUUUAGUUUGCUUGCAAACUAAAGAUGGCGACCGGCGCACGGGUGAGUAACACGUAUCCAACCUGCCGAUAACUCGGGGAUAGCCUUUCGAAAGAAAGAUUAAUAUCCGAUAGUAUAUUAAAACCGCAUGGUUUUACUAUUAAAGAAUUUCGGUUAUCGAUGGGGAUGCGUUCCAUUAGUUUGUUGGCGGGGUAACGGCCCACCAAGACUACGAUGGAUAGGGGUUCUGAGAGGAAGGUCCCCCACAUUGGAACUGAGACACGGUCCAAACUCCUACGGGAGGCAGCAGUGAGGAAUAUUGGUCAAUGGACGAGAGUCUGAACCAGCCAAGUAGCGUGAAGGAUGACUGCCCUAUGGGUUGUAAACUUCUUUUAUAUGGGAAUAAAGUAUUCCACGUGUGGGAUUUUGUAUGUACCAUAUGAAUAAGGAUCGGCUAACUCCGUGCCAGCAGCCGCGGUAAUACGGAGGAUCCGAGCGUUAUCCGGAUUUAUUGGGUUUAAAGGGAGCGUAGGUGGAUUGUUAAGUCAGUUGUGAAAGUUUGCGGCUCAACCGUAAAAUUGCAGUUGAAACUGGCAGUCUUGAGUACAGUAGAGGUGGGCGGAAUUCGUGGUGUAGCGGUGAAAUGCUUAGAUAUCACGAAGAACUCCGAUUGCGAAGGCAGCUCACUAGACUGCAACUGACACUGAUGCUCGAAAGUGUGGGUAUCAAACAGGAUUAGAUACCCUGGUAGUCCACACAGUAAACGAUGAAUACUCGCUGUUUGCGAUAUACAGUAAGCGGCCAAGCGAAAGCAUUAAGUAUUCCACCUGGGGAGUACGCCGGCAACGGUGAAACUCAAAGGAAUUGACGGGGGCCCGCACAAGCGGUGGAGCAUGUGGUUUAAUUCGAAGCAACGCGAAGAACCUUACCAAAUCUUGACAUCCCUCUGACCGGUCUUUAAUCGGACCUUUCCUUCGGGACAGGGGAGACAGGUGGUGCAUGGUUGUCGUCAGCUCGUGUCGUGAGAUGUUGGGUUAAGUCCCGCAACGAGCGCAACCCCUGUCCUUAGUUGCCAGCAUGUAGAGAUGGGAACUCUAAGGAGACUGCCGUAGAUAAUACGGAGGAAGGUGGGGAUGACGUCAAAUCAGCACGGCCCUUACGUCCGGGGCUACACACGUGUUACAAUGGGGGGUACAGAAGGCAGCUACCUGGCGACAGGAUGCUAAUCCCAAAAACCUCUCUCAGUUCGGAUCGAAGUCUGCAACCCGACUUCGUGAAGCUGGAUUCGCUAGUAAUCGCGCAUCAGCCAUGGCGCGGUGAAUACGUUCCCGGGCCUUGUACACACCGCCCGUCACACCAUGAGAGUCGGGAACACCCGAAGUCCGUAGCCUAACCGUAAGGAGGGCGCGGCCGAAGGUGGGUUCGAUAAUUGGGGUG
rnacentral:rRNA from 1 species